UCCUACGGGGCGCAGCAGUGGGGAAUAUUGCACAAUGGGGGAAACCCUGAUGCAGCGACGCCGCGUGAGUGAAGAAGUGCCUCGGCACGUAAAGCUCUAUCAGCAGGGAAGAAAAUGACGGUACCUGACCAAGAAGCCCCGGCUAACUACGUGCCAGCAGCCGCGGUAAUACGUAUGGUGCAAGCGUUAUCCGGAUUUACUGGGUGUAAAGGGAGCGCAGGCGGCACGGCAAGUCUGAUGUGAAAGCCCGCGGCCCAACCGCGGGACUGCAUUUG
rnacentral:rRNA from 1 species